UAGUUUACCCUCAGAAGAAAAAUUGUGGCACUCCAAAAAAAAAUGUCGGCGUUCUUGAUGUCAUGUCGUGGCUUCACUGACUCAAAACCUAAAAUAGAUAUUUCAUUACAAUUUAUAUUUUGUUAUUUUAUCGACAGUUGAAACAGCCGAGAAGCCGUCAACGACACGUUGAAAAGGAUUUGAAAAUGCAGCACAACGACGUGAAGUCGAGUAAGAACUAUGAGAAGGCCCUGGACCAGAUGCAUGAAAACCUCAUCUUUUGGCCUCGCUUCAUCAAGAUCACUCAGUACCUCAUCUGACAGUAAGCAACCAUACCAUCUGGUCUGAACACAAGCUUGGCACCCUGAAGUUUAUUAUGGAGACUUCCCCAUCCAUGCAUUUGAAAAGGCUCUGGAAAACAGCCUGUUUGCAGCGAGGAGCCACGCUCCUUGUCAGCCUAAAGGACAUGGACCCAGCCCAAAUAAUCUUCUGACCUGAGCAAUUCCGGCCUAAAAACACCCCCCUGUACGUGCUCUCAAACUCCUUCUCCUGCAUUUUUACCAAAAAAAAAAAAAGGACUUAGCCUUUGCUAAGUUAUUGGUUGAAUAGUUUUUAUUGUAUGUAUUGAUCUGAAAUAAACAUGUUCUAAGGCAGAA